rnacentral:rRNA from 1 species
CACGCCGUAAACGAUGAAUGCCAGUUGUUGGCUCACAAGAGUCAGUGACGUCGCUAACGCGUUAAGCAUUCCGCCUGGGGAGUACGACCGCAAGGUUGAAACUCAAAGGAAUUGACGGGGACCCGCACAAGCAGCGGAGCAUGUGGUUUAAUUCGAAGCAACGCGAAGAACCUUACCAGGUUUUGACAUAGGAAUGACAGAUUUAGAGAUAGAUUUUUCCUUCGGGACAUUCCAUACAGGUGG